rnacentral:rRNA from 1 species
GACGAACGCUGGCGGCGUGCCUAAUACAUGCAAGUCGAACGCUUCUUUCCUCCCGAGUGCUUGCACUCAAUUGGAAAGAGGAGUGGCGGACGGGUGAGUAACACGUGGGUAACCUACCCAUCAGAGGGGGAUAACACUUGGAAACAGGUGCUAAUACCGCAUAACAGUUUAUGCCGCAUGGCAUAAGAGUGAAAGGCGCUUUCGGGUGUCGCUGAUGGAUGGACCCGCGGUGCCUUAGCUAGUUGGUGAGGUAACGGCUCACCAAGGCCACGAUGCAUAGCCGACCUGAGAGGGUGAUCGGCCACACUGGGACUGAGACACGGCCCAGACUCCUACGGGAGGCAGCAGUAGGGAAUCUUCGGCAAUGGACGAAAGUCUGACCGAGCAACGCCGCGUGAGUGAAGAAGGUUUUCGGAUCGUAAAACUCUGUUGUUAGAGAAGAACAAGGACGUUAGUAACUGAACGUCCCCUGACGGUAUCUAACCAGAAAGACACGGCUAACUACGUG